rnacentral:rRNA from 1 species
CCUACGGGAGGCAGCAGUGAGGAAUAUUGGUCAAUGGACGAGAGUCUGAACCAGCCAAGUAGCGUGAAGGAUGACUGCCCUAUGGGUUGUAAACUUCUUUUAUAUGGGAAUAAAAUGUUCCACGUGUGGGAUUUUGUAUGUACCAUAUGAAUAAGGAUCGGCUAACUCCGUGCCAGCAGCCGCGGUAAUACGGAGGAUCCGAGCGUUAUCCGGAUUUAUUGGGUUUAAAGGGAGCGUAGGUGGAUUGUUAAGUCAGUUGUGAAAGUUUGCGGCUCAACCGUGAAAUUGCAGUUGAAACUGGCAGUCUUGAGUACAGUAGAGGUGGGCGGAAUGCGUGGUGUAGCGGUGAAAUGCUUAGAUAUCACGAAGAACUCCGAUUGCGAAGGCAGUUCACUAGACUGCAACUGACACUGAGGCUCGAAAGUGUGGGUAUCAAACAGGAUUAGAUACCCCUGUAGUC